rnacentral:rRNA from 1 species
UGCGUAGGCGGUGCGGUAAGUCUGUUGUGAAAUCUCCGGGCUCAACUCGGAGCCUGCAACGGAAACUGCCGUGCUGGAGUAUGGGAGAGGUGAGUGGAAUUCCCGGUGUAGUGGUGAAAUGCGUAGAUAUCGGGAGGAAGACCUGUGGCGAAAGCGGCUCACUGGACCAUUACUGACGCUGAUGCACGAAAGCUAGGGGAGCAAACAGGAUUAGAUACCCUGGUAGUCCUAGCCCUAAACGAUGAUCGCUUGGUGUGACAGGUACCCAAUCCUGUUGUGCCGGAGCUAACGCGUUAAGCGAUCCGCCUGGGGAGUACGGUCGCAAGGCUGAA